UACGUAGGGGGCAAGCGUUGUCCGGAUUUAUUGGGCGUAAAGAGCGUGUAGGCGGCUAGGUAGGUGGGUUGUGAAAACUGGAGGCUCAACCUUCAGACGUCGACCCAAACCCCCUGGCUAGAGUCCGGAAGAGGAGAGUGGAAUUCCUGGUGUAGCAGUGAAAUGCGUAGAUAUCAAGAGGAACACCAGUGGCGAAGGCGAGUCCCUGGACAACACCUGACACUGAGGCACGAAAGCUAGGGGAGCAAACAGG
rnacentral:rRNA from 1 species